CUUAUCUGUCGCUUUGGGGUCCUAGCUGCGUUGCCCUGGUAACAACUGUAAACAAAAGGCUGCGGUUAACUGCUCCGCUCCCUGACAGGAUUUUUCGUUCAUUCGUGCCAAUGAAACAGGAGGCCUCGAUUCAUGCAGAAGAUAAGGUUUGAAACCCAGACAGCACGAAGCAUCUUGCCGACGUCAAAAUCAGAUCAACAGACAGGGACAUCAGCCUUCUCUUGGGAAUAGGCCAGAUAUGCCAUAACAAGAAAUGGUGUUUUGCCCCUGCGGUUGUGAAGAGGAUGCUGUGGAGGUGGCAGCAUGAACGUGUCACACAGACAUUGGCUAAACAACUCGGCUUCUACACUUGACAACAAAUGUGCUCUACGAUGACAUUUCCAGCAUGUCCAACUCAUCAGCAUCAGGGGAGAUUCGGUGAAGGUGGUGCACCAUCCAGGACCAGUCAUGGGUCACCAACACCUCUGCAAAAUCUACACUUCUUGUGAACCCUGUAGAAGACACUACAACCACAAAACUGCUAAUAAACCAUCACAUACUGCAUCACA